rnacentral:rRNA from 1 species
GAUGAACGCUGGCGGCGUGCCUAAUACAUGCAAGUCGAGCGAAGCGGGGACGGGUGAGUAACACGUGGAUAACCUCCUAUAAGACUGGGAUAACUUCGGGAAACCUGAGCUAAACCGGAUACAUAUAGAUGGAGCCACGCUGCAUUAGCUAGUUGGUAAGGUAACGGCUUACCAAGGCAACGAUGCCUAGCAGACCUGAGAGGAUGAUCAGCCACACUGGGACUGAGACACGGCCCAGACUCCUACGGGAGGCAGCAGUGGGGAAUAUUGGACAAUGGGCGAAAGCCUGAUCCAGCCAUGCCGCGUGUAUGAAGAAGGUCUUAGGGUUGUAAAGCACUUUCAGUUGGGAGGCGUUACCGACAGAAUAAGCACCGGCUAACUCCGUGCCAGCAGCCGCGGUAAUAC